GUGCAGUGCUACCUCCACGGUCAAGCCCUCGGCAGGGUCCUGCUGCCCACAGAACCGGGAGAGGCCUCCCUACCACCAGCGCUCUCUCGACGCAGGGAUUGCCCCCACCAAGCCCCAGAGCUGGGAGUGGGCAGGACGGGGCAGAGGUGACCACAGUGACAGUGGCCAACGUGGGGGCUGCUGCAGACAAUGUCUUCACCACGUCCGUGGCGAACGCAGCGUCCAUCUCAGGACAUGUUCUGUCUGGUAGGACGGCCCUUCAGAUCGGGGACAGCCUGAACACCGAAAAAGCCACACUGAUUGUCGUCCACACGGAUGGGAGCAUCGUGGAGACCACCGGGCUGAAGGGCCCGGCAGCUCCCCUCACCCCAGGUCCUCAGUCUCCUCCAACCCCUCUGGCUCCCGGCCAAGAAAAAGGUGGAACUAAAUACAACUGGGACCCUUCUGUGUACGACAGUGAGCUGCCCGUACGGUGCCGGAACAUCAGCGGUACUCUGUACAAGAACAGGCUCGGCUCAGGCGGCCGGGGACGGUGCAUCAAGCAGGGGGAGAACUGGUACAGUCCCACCGAGUUUGAGGCCAUGG
rnacentral:sRNA from 1 species